CACAUGCAAGUCCAACGAUGACUUCUGUGCUUGCACAGAAUGAUUAGUGGCGAACGGGUGAGUAACACGUGAGUAACCUGCCCUUGACUUCGGGAUAAGCCUGGGAAACCGGGUCUAAUACCGGAUACGACCUCCUGGCGCAUGCCAUGGGGGUGGAAAGCUUUAUGCGGUUUUGGAUGGACUCGCGGCCUAUCAGCUUGUUGGUUGGGGUAAUGGCCCACCAAGGCGACGACGGGUAGCCGGCCUGAGAGGGUGACCGGCCACACUGGGACUGAGACACGGCCCAGACUCCUACGGGAGGCAGCAGUGGGGAAUAUUGCACAAUGGGCGGAAGCCUGAUGCAGCGACGCCGCGUGAGGGAUGACGGCCUUCGGGUUGUAAACCUCUUUCAGCAGGGAAGAAGCGAAAGUGACGGUACCUGCAGAAGAAGCGCCGGCUAACUACGUGCCAGC
rnacentral:rRNA from 1 species